AGAGUUUGAUCCUGGCUCAGGAUGAACGCUAGCGGCAGGCCUAAUACAUGCAAGUCGAACGGUAAAUAUUUAGCAAUAAAUAUGAGAGUGACGUACGGGUGCGUAACACGUAUGCAACCUACCCUUUACAGGCGGAUAGCUCGGGGAAACUCGAGUUAACCCGCCGUAAUAUAAUUGGAUGGCAUCAUCUGGUUAUUAAAUCUACGGAGGUAAAGGAUGGGCAUGCGUCUGAUUAGUUAGUUGGCGGGGUAACGGCCCACCAAGACGAUGAUCAGUAGGGGAACUGAGAGGUUGAUCCCCCACACUGGCACUGAGAUACGGGCCAGACUCCUACGGGAGGCAGCAGUAGGGAAUAUUGGUCAAUGGAUGGAAGUCUGAACCAGCCAUGCCGCGUGCAGGAAGAAGGCCUUCUGGGUUGUAAACUGCUUUUGCCAGGGGAUAAAAUGACCUUGCGAGGUUAAUUGAAGGUACCUGGUGAAUAAGCCACGGCUAACUACGUGCCAGCAGCCGCGGUAAUACGUAGGUGGCAAGCGUUGUCCGGAUUUAUUGGGUUUAAAGGGUGCGUAGGCGGCUUAUUAAGUCAGUGGUGAAAUACUCUAGCUCAACUAGAGGGGUGCCAUUGAUACUGAUGAGCUUGAGUACAGAUGAGGUAGGCGGAAUUGACGGUGUAGCGGUGAAAUGCUUAGAUAUCGUCAAGAACACCUAUAGCGAAGGCAGCUUACUAGGCUGUAACUGACGCUGAGGCACGAAAGUGUGGGGAUCAAACAGGAUUAGAUACCCUGGUAGUCCACACUGUAAACGUUGAUUACUCGCUGUGUGCGAUAUACAGUACGCGGCCAAGCGAAAGCGAUAAGUAAUCCACCUGGGGAGUACGCCGGCAACGGUGAAACUCAAAGGAAUUGACGGGGGUCCGCACAAGCGGUGGAGCAUGUGGUUUAAUUCGAUGAUACGCGAGGAACCUUACCUGGACUAGAAUGCCCUUGACCGAUCCAGAGAUGGAUUUUUCCGCAAGGACAAGGAGCAAGGUGCUGCAUGGCCGUCGUCAGCUCGUGCCGUGAGGCGUUGGGUUAAGUCCCGCAACGAGCGCAACCCUUGUCCUUAGUUGCCAGCAUUAAGUUGGGCACUCUAAGGAGACCGCCGGUGACAAACCGGAGGAAGGUGGGGAUGACGUCAGGUCAUCAUGGCCCUUACGUCCAGGGCUACACACGUGCUACAAUGGCGUAUACAGAGUGUUGCAAACCAGCGAUGGUAAGCCAGUC
rnacentral:rRNA from 1 species